GAGAGAUGAUGAAAUUUCAAUUUUGGUCUGUGUUUCUGAUGACUGAUGAUUUCGAAGAUCUGAUCUC